rnacentral:rRNA from 1 species
AGUGAACGCUGGCGGCGUGCCUAAUACAUGCAAGUCGAACGGAGUGGCGCACGAGUGAGUAAUGUAUAGCUAAUCUUCCCUACACUAGAGGACAACAGUUGGAAACGGCUGCUAAUACUCCAUAGGGUAGGAUGAGGCUAUAUUGUAUCAGCUAGUUGGUGAGGUAAUGGCGCACCAAGGCUAUGACGCAUAACUGGUCUGAGAGGAUGAUCAGUAGAACGCGAAGUGAGACACGGUCCAGAAUCCUACGGGAGGCAGCAGUAGGGAAUAUUGCCCAAUGGGGGAAACUCUGAAGCAGCAACGCGGCGUGGAGGAUGACACUUUGCGGAGAGAAAACUCCUUUUGUUAGGGAAGCGGUACCUAAAGAAUAAGCACCGGCUAACUCCGUGCCAGCAGCCGCGGUAAUAC